AAAUUUUAAAUGAUGAAAAAUGGUAAAUUACUAAGAGUACAAUGGUUAAUGAUAUCCACUUAACUUUAUAUUUUAAAUGCAUUUUAACAUUCAAUAUGCCUU